AGAGUUUGAUCCUGGCUCAGGAUGAACGCUGGCGGCGUGCCUAAUACAUGCAAGUCGAACGAAGAUCUAGCUUGCUAGAUCUUAGUGGCGAACGGGUGAGUAAUACAUAAAUAAUCUGCCCAUAUGACUGGGAUAACUAUUGGAAACGAUAGCUAAUACCGGAUAGGUUAAUCGGAGGCAUCUCUGAUGAAUUAAAGUAGGAUUUCUACACAAAUGGAUGAGUUUAUGGCGCAUUAGUUAGUUGGUGGGGUAACGGCCUACCAAGACGAUGAUGCGUAGCCGACCUGAGAGGGUGACCGGCCACACUGGGACUGAGACACGGCCCAGACUCCUACGGGAGGCAGCAGUAGGGAAUUUUCGGCAAUGGGCGCAAGCCUGACCGAGCAACGCCGCGUGAGUGAUUAAGGCCUUCGGGUUGUAAAGCUCUGUUGUAAGGGAAGAACAUUCAGGAUAGGAAAUGAUCUUGAACUGACGGUACCUUACCAGAAAGCCACGGCUAACUACGUGCCAGCAGCCGCGGUAAUACGUAGGUGGCAAGCGUUAUCCGGAAUUAUUGGGCGUAAAGGGUGCGUAGGCGGUUUAUUAAGUCUAUGGUGAAAGUGCGGGGCUCAACCCCGUAUGGCCAUAGAAACUGGUAGACUUGAGUGCAGGAGAGGGCAAUGGAAUUCCAUGUGUAGCGGUAAAAUGCGUAGAUAUAUGGAGGAACACCAGUGGCGAAGGCGGUUGCCUGGCCUGUAACUGACGCUGAAGCACGAAAGCGUGGGGAGCAAAUAGGAUUAGAUACCCUAGUAGUCCACGCC
rnacentral:rRNA from 1 species